AGAUGGUGAACUAUGCCUGAAUAGGGCGAAGCCAGGGGAAACCCUGGUGGAAGCCCGCAGCGAUUCUGACGUGCAAAUCGAUCGUCAAAUUUGGGUAUAGGGGCGAAAGACUAAUCGAACCGUCUAGUAGCUGGUUCCCUCCGAAGUUUCCCUCAGGAUAGCUGGAGCCCGGUGCAGUUUUAUCAGGUAAAGCGAAUGAUUAGAGGCCUUGGGGUCGAAACGACCUCAACCUAUUCUCAAACUUUAAAUGGGUAAGAGGUCCGUCUUGCUCGACUGAAGUCGGACGCGGAAUGCCGGGGCUCCUAGUGGGCCAUUUUUGGUAAGCAGAACUGGCGAUGUGGGAUGAACCGAAAGCCGGGUUAAGGUGCCCGAAUCGACGCUCAGCA
rnacentral:rRNA from 1 species